ACGCUGGCGGCAGGCUUAACACAUGCAAGUCGAACGGUAACAGGAAUUAGCUUGCUAAUUUGCUGACGAGUGGCGGACGGGUGAGUAAUGCUUGGGAAUCUGGCUUAUGGAGGGGGAUAACUACGGGAAACUGUAGCUAAUACCGCGUAAAAUCUUCGGAUUAAAGGGUGGGACUUUCGAGCCACCUGCCAUAAGAUGAGCCCAAGUGGGAUUAGGUAGUUGGUUAGGUAAAGGCUGGCCAAGCCGACGAUCUCUAGCUGGUCUGAGAGGAUGACCAGCCACACUGGAACUGAGACACGGUCCAGACUCCUACGGGAGGCAGCAGUGGGGAAUAUUGCACAAUGGGGGGAACCCUGAUGCAGCCAUGCCGCGUGAAUGAAGAAGGCCUUCGGGUUGUAAAGUUCUUUCGGUGACGAGGAAGGUUGAUAGGUUAAUAGCCUAUCAAAUUGACGUUAAUCACAGAAGAAGCACCGGCUAACUCCGUGCCAGCAGCCGCGGUAAUACGGGGGGUGCGAGCGUUAAUCGGAAUAACUGGGCGUAAAGGGCACGCAGGCGGUGACUUAAGUGAGAUGUGAAAGCCCCGAGCUUAACUUGGGAAUUGCAUUUCAUACUGGGUCGCUAGAGUACUUUAGGGAGGGGUAGAAUUCCACGUGUAGCGGUGAAAUGCGUAGAGAUGUGGAGGAAUACCGAAGGCGAAGGCAGCCCCUUGGGAAUGUACUGACGCUCAUGUGCGAAAGCGUGGGGAGCAAACAGGAUUAGAUACCCUGGUAGUCCACGCUGUAAACGAUGUCGAUUUGGGGAUUGGGCUUUGAGCUUGGUGCCCGUAGCUAACGUGAUAAAUCGACCGCCUGGGGAGUACGGCCGCAAGGUUAAAACUCAAAUGAAUUGACGGGGGCCCGCACAAGCGGUGGAGCAUGU
rnacentral:rRNA from 1 species